UUGGAGGGCAAGUCUGGUGCCAGCAGCCGCGGUAAUUCCAGCUCCAAUAGCGUAUAUUAAAGUUGUUGCAGUUAAAAAGCUCGUAGUUGAAUUUCGGGAUUGGCGCAUCGGUCGUGCCUCACGGGGUAUGAACUGGUGCAGUCAAUUUCUCACCUUCUGGAGAACCGCGAUGUCCUUAAUUGGAUGCCGCGGGGAACCAGGACCUUUACUUUGAAAAAAUUAGAGUGUUUAAAGCAGGCAUUUUUGCUUGAAUACAUUAGCAUGGAAUAAUAAAAUAGGACGGCAUGGUUCUAUUUUGUUGGUUUCUAGGAUUGACGUAAUGAUUAAUAGGGAUAGUUGGGGGCAUUAGUAUUCAAUUGUCAGAGGUGAAAUUCUUGGAUUUAUUGAAGACUAACUACUGCGAAAGCAUUUGCCAAGGAUGUUUUCAUUAAUCAAGAACGAAAGUUAGGGGAUCGAAGACGAUCAGAUACCGUCGUAGUCUUAACCAUAAACUAUGCCGACUAGGGAUCGGAUGAUGUUAAUUUUUUAAUGACUCAUUCGGCGCCUUACGGGAAACCAAAGUGUUUGGGUUC
rnacentral:rRNA from 1 species